rnacentral:rRNA from 1 species
AGCCUUAAGCACUCAAUUUAAGGUUAGACCUGCCCAAUGUAAGUUUAUCAAUGGCCGCGGUACCCUGACCGUGCUAAGGUAGCGCAAUAAAUUGGCCUUUAAUUGAGGCCAAGUAUGAAUGGAGUCACGGGGCUUAGCUGUCUCCUAAUUAAUUUAUUGAAAUUACUAUAUAGGUGAAAAAGCCUAAAAUCAGAAGAGGGACGAGAAGACCCUUAGAGUUUAACCUAAACCAAAACUUUAUUUGGUACAGUUUAGUUGGGGCAACUCAGGAACAACAAUAUAACCUCCUGUUAAAACAUACCGAUUUUUAUAAAUAUGAAUAAACUACCUUAGGGAUAACAGCAUUAUUUUAUAUAUAAGUUUAUGACCUCGAUGUUGGACUAGGAAACCUGCAGGCUAGCCGCCUUCAGGGUAAGUUCUGUUCGAACUAAAAUUCCU